rnacentral:rRNA from 1 species
GACGAAACGCUGGCGGCGUGCCUAACACAUGCAAGUCGAGCGGAGUCAGUAAGAGGAAGUUUUCGGAUGGAAUCUUAUUGAUUUAGCGGCGGACGGGUGAGUAACGCGUGAGCGACCAACCUUGCACAGGGGGGAUAACGGACCGAAAGGUUCACUAAUACCGCAUGAGACCACGGUGUUGCAUGACACAGAGGUCAAAGGAGCAAUCCGGUGCAAGACGGGCUCGCGUCCGAUUAGGUAGUUGGAGGGGUAACGGCCCACCAAGCCUAUGAUCGGUAGCCGACCUGAGAGGGUGAUCGGCCACAUUGGAACUGAGAUACGGUCCAAACUCCUACGGGAGGCAGCAGUGGGGAAUAUUGGGCAAUGGGGGAAACCCUGACCCAGCAACGCCGCGUGAAGGAAGAAGGUUUUCGGAUUGUAAACUUCUUUAGCAGGGGAAUAAAAGACGAUACGAGUUAUCGUGUUGAAAGUACUUUGCGAAAAAGGAUCGGCUAACUCCGUGCCAGCAGCCGCGGUAAUCACGAGAGUAC